GAUGAACGCUGGCGGCGUGCCUAAUACAUGCAGGUCGAGCGAACAGACGAGGAGCUUGCUCCUCUGACGUUAGCGGCGGACGGGUGAGUAACACGUGGAUAACCUACCUAUAAGACUGGGAUAACUUCGGGAAACCGGAGCUAAUACCGGAUAAUAUAUUGAACCGCAUGGUUCAAUAGUGAAAGACGGUUUUGCUGUCACUUAUAGAUGGAUCCGCGCCGCAUUAGCUAGUUGGUAAGGUAACGGCUUACCAAGGCAACGAUGCGUAGCCGACCUGAGAGGGUGAUCGGCCACACUGGAACUGAGACACGGUCCAGAAUCCUACGGGAGGCAGCAGUAGGGAAUCUUCCGCAAUGGGCGAAAGCCUGACGGAGCAACGCCGCGUGAGUGGUGAAGGUCUUCGGAUCGUAAAACUCUGUUAUUAGGGAAGAACAAAUGUGUAAGUAACUAUGCACGUCUUGACGGUACCUAAUCAGAAAGCCACGGCUAACUACGUG
rnacentral:rRNA from 1 species